rnacentral:rRNA from 1 species
UCGAGGAUCUUUCGCAAUGGGCGAAAGCCUGACGAAGCGACGCCGUGUGAGCGAUGAAGGCCUUCGGGUUGUAAAGCUCUUUCGCGCGUGAACAAGGGAUGUAGGUGAAUAGCCUGCAAAUUUGAGGGUAACGCGUAAAGAAGCACCGGCUAACUCCGUGCCAGCAGCUGCGGUAAUACGGAGGGUGCAAGCAUUAAUCGGAAUUAUUGGGCGUAAAGGGCGCGUAGGCGGGUAAGUAAGUUAGAUGUGAAAUUCCGAAGCUCAACUUCGGAGCUGCAUUUAAAACUGCUAAUCUAGAGGUAUGGCGGAGAAAAUGGAAUUCCACAAGUAGCGGUGAAAUGCGUAGAUAUGUGGAAGAACACCUGUGGCGAAAGCGAUUUUCUAGCUAUAACCUGACGCUGAGGCGCGAGAGCAAGGGGAGCAAACAGG